UACGGGGGGGGCAAGCGUUGUUCGGAAUUACUGGGCGUAAAGGGCUCGUAGGUGGUCAACUAAGUCAUACGUGAAAUCCCUCGGCUUAACCGGGGAACUGCGCCUGAUACUGGUUGACUUGAGUUUGGGAGAGGGACGCGGAAUUCCAGGUGUAGCGGUGAAAUGCGUAGAUAUCUGGAGGAACACCGGUGGCGAAGGCGGCGUCCUGGACCAAUACUGACACUGAUGAGCGAAAGCCAGGGGAGCAAACGGG
rnacentral:rRNA from 1 species